rnacentral:rRNA from 1 species
UCUGGUCUUGGGACACUGUCAGGUGGGCAGUUUGACUGGGGCGGUCGCCUCCCAAAAGGUAACGGAGGCGCUCAAAGGUUCUCUCAGUACGGUCGGAAAUCGUACGUAGAGUGUAAAGGCAAAAGAGAGCUUGAUUGCAAGACAUACAGGUCGAGCAAGGAUGAAAAUCGGACUUAGUGAUCCGGUGGUUCUGCGUGGAAGGGCCAUCGCUCAACGGAUAAAAGCUACCCUGGGGAUAACAGGCUUAUCUCCCCCAAGAGUCCACAUCGACGGGGAGGUUUGGCACCUCGAUGUCGGCUCAUCACAUCCUGGGGCUGUAGUAGGUCCCAAGGGUUGGGCUGUUCGCCCAUUAAAGUGGUACGCGAGCUGGGUUCAGAACGUCGUGAGACAGUUCGGUCCCUAUCCGUCGCAGGCGUAGGAAAUUUGAGAAGACCUGUCCUUAGUACGAGAGGACCGGGAUGGACGUACCUCUGGUGUACCAGUUGUCCUGCCAAGGGCAUGGCUGGGUAGCUAUGUACGGAAUGGAUAAGCGCUGAAAGCAUCUAAGCGCGAAGUCAACUUCAAGAUAAGAUUUCCCACCGCAAGGGUAAGACCCCAGAAAGACUAUCUGGUUGAUAGGUCGAAGGUGUAAGUGCAGCAAUGUAUUUAGCUUAUCGAUACUAAUAGGUCGAGGACUUGACCAAUAUU